rnacentral:rRNA from 1 species
AACGAACGCUGGCGGCAUGCCUAACACAUGCAAGUCGAACGAGACCUUCGGGUCUAGUGGCGCACGGGUGCGUAACGCGUGGGAACCUGCCCUUAGGUUCGGAAUAACUCCCCGAAAGGGGUGCUAAUACCGGAUAAUGUCUUCGGACCAAAGAUUUAUCGCCUUUGGAUGGGCCCGCGUUGGAUUAGCUAGUUGGUAGGGUAAAAGCCUACCAAGGCGACGAUCCAUAGCUGGUCUGAGAGGAAGAUCAGCCACACUGGGACUGAGACACGGCCCAGACUCCUACGGGAGGCAGCAGUGGGGAAUAUUGGACAAUGGGCGAAAGCCUGAUCCAGCAAGGCCGCGAGAGUGAUGAAGGCCUUAGGGUUGUAAAGCUCUUUUACCCGGGAUGAUAAUGACAGUACCGGGAGAAUAAGCUCCGGCUAACUCCGUG